GCAGUCGCCGCGGUAAUACGAAGGGGGCUAGCGUUGUUCGGAUUUACUGGGCGUAAAGCGCACGUAGGCGGAUCGAUCAGUCAGGGGUGAAAUCCCAGAGCUCAACUCUGGAACUGCCUUUGAUACUGUCGAUCUGGAGUAUGGAAGAGGUGAGCGGAAUUCCGAGUGUAGAGGUGAAAUUCGUAGAUAUUCGGAGGAACACCAGUGGCGAAGGCGGCUCACUGGUCCAUUACUGACGCUGAGGUGCGAAAGCGUGGGGAGCAAACAGGAUUAGAUACCCGUGUAGUCCCUGUCUCUUAUA
rnacentral:rRNA from 1 species